UAUUGGUCAAUGGGCGCGAGCCUGAACCAGCCAAGUAGCGUGAAGGAUGACGGCCCUAUGGGUUGUAAACUUCUUUUAUAUGGGAAUANAGUUUGGUAAGCAUACCAUUUUGUAUGUACCAUAUGAAUAAGGAACGGCUAACUCCGAGCUAGCAGCCGCGGUAAUACGGAGGAUCCGAGCGUUAUCCGGAUUUAUUGGGUUUAAAGGGAGCGUAGGUGGAUUGUUAAGUCAGUUGUGAAAGUUUGCGGCUCAACCGUAAAAUUGCAGUUGAUACUGGAUGUCUUGAGUACAGUAGAGGUGGGCGGAAUUCGUGGUGUAGCGGUGAAAUGCUUGGAUAUCACGAAGAACUCCGAUUGCGAAGGCAGCUCACUGGACUGCAACUGACACUGAUGCUCGAAAGUGUGGGUAUCAAACA
rnacentral:rRNA from 1 species